ACAAAAAUAUAAUUUUAUAAGUGUACACCCCCCCCUCCCCACACACACACAGAUAUAUAUUGAGGACAAAAAUAUAUUGGAAUAAUUUUCCAAGAAUGUGGACUUUCAUUUAUCAUUUGCACGUUAAGUGAUAAGCAAUCAAUUCCCAGAAUCAAAACACGAAGAGAAAUAAUUUUUAAUUGUACAUUAUUUUAACAUAAAAUAUAAGUUAUUGAUUUGUUAUAUAAUAACAAAUGUAGAUUUUCGAUAUAAAUAGGAAUAGAAAUGAUGGUCAAAUAAAAAAUGACCGUUUCGAUUUUGACUCUAAUUAGAUUUCUAAUGUGAACUACAUAAUAGAUAUCAGAAUAAAUAUGUGACUCGCGCGGUGACCAAUCAUUAUCAAUCCAUUUCUUUGUCCGCAUUCGAAUGCAAUAUCCAAUUAUACACAUGCAAUAGUAAUAUCGACACUACAAUAAUCUAAAUAUAUACGUUUUACAAUUAUUUACAAUUAAUUUAACUCAGAAAGGAAGCAAUUUUACCACGUAUAUAAAUCCAUCCUCACGACAGUGAAUUUUUUAUCUUGCACGAAAAAAAUUAUUUUACUGCUACAUUUAUCUAUUCUUAUCAUAAUGUACAUACAUACAUACAUACAUACAUACAUACAUACAUACAUACAUACAUACAUACAUAUAUAUAUAUAUAUAUAUGUGCUACACAAUAAUAUAAAAUGUAGUUGAGUAUCAGCAAUUUAUUAAUAAAGAGCUAGUUGUGACUUGUAUAGGGUGUUAUAAAAAGUAAUUUUCACAUUUUUUCUUUUUUGUUAAUAGUGUUAUAACAGUGUUAAUUCUAUAAACACAUCUGUAUUAUAUUAUAUUAAAUGUUAUAUUGUUCUCUAUUAUAUUAGAGAAAAAAAAUGGGUAAUACUUUACCAAGUAAACCAGACCAUCAUUUUCAGUCGAGCAGAUCAGAUACGAGAUCAGAUGCAAAAUAGAUCAAGAUUACACAUUGACAUCGAAUUAAUAAAGAUUAUGAAAGAGAAAUACAUACAAGAUAUAAGUACUCAACAUUUCACAGGAAAAGCUGCGCUUUUUAUAGAAAGUAAAGGGGAGAAUUUAAUAUCGUACUUGAAAUCGUUAUUCAUUCUAGAUAUUGUUUCAUUUUGGAAAGAAUGUGAAAAUUUACAGAAAUUAUCUGUUCUACAACACAAAGAAAUAUUCUAAAUUUUUGAAUUAAAAGGAAAACUAUAUACAUUAUAAACCUUAACAUAUAUAUUUAUUCAUAUUUAAAGAAUGUGUAUAAAUUUGGUUACACCCAGAUAUUAUUUUGCUUGUUGCAUACGAUUUUAGUUUAGAACAUAAACAAACAUAUAUUUAAUAUGCAAGUAAAAUUUGUAGUCAAUUGGUUCAAUAUUCUUUAAGAUUCGAGUAAAAAGGA